UAAUCUGUGCUGAGUUGGACUGUUAUAGCUAUAGUGUUCACCUCAAGAUGCUGAUCUAUGCUCCAAGCACCCCCAUGCCUCAGGACACGUGCUGCAGACCCAGUAUCAAAACUCAAGGUGAUUUUUUGAAUACCAGCAGGGCUAGAAAUGAGCCCUGCGGUCACAAGUAUUCUGUGCUAACUCCCUUCUCCAGCCCAGGCUUAUCUGUUUGCCUGAUGCUCCACCUACUUCCAGCCACCCCCAUGUGGGGCAUGGGCAGAGCCCACUGAUUUCAGCUGCCUUCUUAAAAACACUUCCUUCUGGGCAGAACUCCUAUUUAUGCAGAUAUUAUCAGCUCUGGGCCACAAUUGCUAACCCCAGUCUGCCUAGAGAGUCCUGCCAGGCUCAGCUCAGCAGCAUGUCUGUCAGGACCCUCACCACUCUUUCCAGGAUCUACCUCCUAGGACUGUUCUUCUCCAUUCUCCCAGGGUCCUGGACCCAGGUGCGACUAGUGGAGACAGGAGGCAAGGUGACAAAUGAAGGCCAGUCUGUUACUCUGAACUGCAGGGCCUCUGGCUUUAACUUCAAGGAAUACGCCAUGUCUUGGCACUGGAGCUCAACUGAGAACCACAGGGAGUUAGUGGCCAGCAUCAGCCCCAAAACUGGCAGUAACAGAGAGUACAGCACUAGAGUUCAGGGCAGGGCCUUCAUCACCAGGAACAAUGAGGCCCAAACUGUCUCCCUGACCUUGCACCAGCUGCGAAAGGAGGACUCAGGCAAAUACCACUGUGCCAAACACACUUUGCUGGGGCCAGGCAGAGGCCUUGACACAAACCUGGGAUUAUAG